AUAAUGCCCACGUGUCCAGGACAGGGCUAGGUGGAGAUAAUUAAAUCAUGGGGGUGGUUAUCCCAUACUGUUCUCAUUGUAGUGAAUAAGUUUCACAAGAUCUGAUGGUAUUACAAUGAGAGUACCCCUGCACAAGCUCUCUUGCCUUCCACCAUGUAAGACGUGACUUUGCUCCUCAUUUGUCUUCUACCAUUACUGUGAGGUCUUUCCAGCCAUGUGCAACUGGGAUGGCUUUGCCAGGAAAAGCCCUUCAAUAGCAGCCUGGCCAAAGAUUCUGGGCAAAUAAGUUGGCUGGGUCCAUGGGCAAUCAAGAUUCUGGGACCUGCAAUCAAACUUGCUGCUGGCGUUUGCUACCAGCGGGAUGUUACACUCGGUCUACUGACUCACAUGCAUCUUCUCCAAGAACACCCUCACAGACACACCUGGAGAAGCUCAAGCAUUCUAAUCAAAAUGAAAACCACCUGGAAUUCUCUUUCAGCAGAAGAGGAAUGGGUUCCAUUCCUAUUGAAGCAUUGAGAAUAAAUAACCCUUUACCAGCUACCUGAGUAUUCCUUAAUUCAGUCAAGUUUCAUCCAAAAUCAACUGUUGCAACUUAUUCUGAAAUGUUCAACUAGCUUUACAUUCUUUAGAUUAGGUCCUGCUUGUUCAUGAUAUAUUGUACUUUUGUAUAGAGCUAGAUUUUAUUUAAAAUACUGUGAAGUUUGUUUGAGGCUGAGGUGGGAGAAUCAAUGAGCCCAGGAGGUUGAGGGUGUAGUGAGCCGUGAUUGUGCCACUGUGCUAUCCCCUGGUAACAGAGUGAGACCCUGUCUCAAAUACAUAAAUAAACAAACAAACAAAUAAAUAAAUAAAUAAAUAAAAUUUCUACAUUGUAGCAAAAAAACAAAUAGAAAUUGAAAUCCAAAAUUGUAUAUACAAUUUAAAUUUGAAUUAAAAAGCACAAAGUGCUUACAAAUUUUAAUAAUUUUUGUGUAAGACUAGCACACUAAAAAUUAUGAAAUAAUACUGAAAGGGUGAUAUAAAUAAAUGCAGAGAUUUAUGGUGUUUAUGGAUUGAAAGACUCAAUAUCAUUAAGUUGUUCAUUCUCAAGUCAAUCUGUAGAUUCAAGGUAAGCUUAAUUAAAAUCUCAAGAAAAUUUUUGUUGUUCUUGUCUUGUUACAGUUCUUGUUGCUGAAAAUGAGAAAAGACAAAAGCUUGGCAGAAGUUAUUGAUUAUAUUUAAAUCUAUGGUUAAAUUUACAUAAGAAAAGAUUAAAUGGUGGCAUCAUCAAGAUAGCAGAGUAGGUGAUACCAGGCUUUGUCUUCACCACAAAAAAAGAGAGACAGCUGUUCAAAAACCAAAAUAUCCCCAAGAAAGCUCUAGGGCCUGUAGGAUACAGUAAAUUCCUCUUCAAAGAUUUUAGCCUGUUAACUUCCUUUAACAUUCAAGAGGGGUAAAAUCGUUAAGUACAAUGAGUUCUGAAUUCCUCUUCAGAAAACUAAUGUGUCAGUAUGUUUUGCUUCCCUGUUCUUUGCUCUCCAUUUUAAAGUUUAACUUCCUCGUUCUUAGGCCUCCUUGCCCUUACUUUCAGUAAACAACACCCUGCUAGCCUCUAUCACCUGCGCUGUCCUUAGUCAUCCUUAGUCACCUGCUCUGUAACCGUCCUUCCCACUGAAACUACUCAUCCCACCACUCUGGCUCGUACCCCUGCCGUCUUUGAAACAGCCAAUCUGAAUUAGCUUAGACUGUGCAGUCCAACCCUAGCCAAUAGGGGAAAGAAACAGCAGUAGGGAUUAACUGCUUUAGGGAUAAGAAUCCCUUCCCCUCCCUUGUCCAGUGUGCUCUCCCCAUUGCUCCAUCUGCGAGACACACCCUUCUAUAGAAGUAAAUUUGCCGCCGGGCAUGGUGGCUCACGCCUGUAAUCCCAGAACUUUGGGAGGCGGAGGCGGCCGGAUCACAUG
rnacentral:lncRNA from 1 species